GCCUCGGUAGCUCAGUUGGUAGAGCAGUUGACUCUUAAUCAAUUGGUCCCGGGUUCGAGUCCCAGCCGGGGUACCA
rnacentral:tRNA from 1 species